UGCCAAGAGCACGGCUGGUUGGCUACGUUGGGAAGUGAUAACCGCUGAAAGCAUCUAAGCGGGAAGCACGCUUCAAGAUGAGGGUUCCCACAGCAUAAGCUGGUAAGGUCCCCGGAAGAUUACCGGGUUGAUAGGUCGGAUGUGGAAGUGCAGUAAUGCAUGGAGCUGACCGAUACUAAUAGACCGAGGGCUUGUUUCU
rnacentral:rRNA from 1 species